rnacentral:rRNA from 1 species
UGCAGCGACGCCGCGUGAGGGAUGACGGCCUUCGGGUUGUAAACCUCUUUCAGCAGGGAAGAAGCGAAAGUGACGGUACCUGCAGAAGAAGCGCCGGCUAACUACGUGCCAGCAGCCGCGGUAAUACGUAGGGCGCGAGCGUUGUCCGGAAUUAUUGGGCGUAAAGAGCUCGUAGGCGGCUUGUCACGUCGGUUGUGAAAGCCCGGGGCUUAACCCCGGGUCUGCAGUCGAUACGGGCAGGCUAGAGUUCGGUAGGGGAGAUCGGAAUUCCUGGUGUAGCGGUGAAAUGCGCAGAUAUCAGGAGGAACACCGGUGGCGAAGGCGGAUCUCUGGGCCGAUACUGACGCUGAGGAGCGAAAGCGUGGGGAGCGAACAGGAUUAGAUACCCUGGUAGUCCACGCCGUAAACGGUGGGCACUAGGUGUGGGCGACAUUCCACGUCGUCCGUGCCGCAGCUAACGCAUUAAGUGCC